GCAAGGGUAUCCUGUGCUGAAUACAUAGGCACUGGAAGCGAACCCGGGGAACUGAAAUAUCUCAGUACCCGGAGGAAAAGAAAUCAACCGAGAUUCCCAAAGUAGUGGCGAGCGAAAUGGGACCAGCCUGCAAGUGAUAAUGACUGCGUUAGCGGAACAGUCUGGAAAGUCUGGCCGUAGUGGGUGAUAGCCCCGUACGCGAAAACCCGGCUCAAGAACUAAGCGUGAGAAAAGUAGGGCGGGACACGUGAAAUCCUGUCUGAAGAUGGGGGGACCAUCCUCCAAGGCUAAAUACUCGUGAUCGACCGAUAGUGAACUAGUACCGUGAGGGAAAGGCGAAAAGAACCCCGGGAGGGGAGUGAAAUAGAUCCUGAAACCGCAUGCAUACAAACAGUGGGAGCCGCCUUGUGGGGUGACUGCGUACCUUUUGUAUAAUGGGUCAGCGACUUACGUUAUGUGGCGAGCUUAACCGAAUAGGGGAGGCGUAGCGAAAGCGAGUCUGAUAAGGGCGAUUUAGUCGCUAAGCGUAGACCCGAAACCGGAUGAUCUAUCCAUGGCCAGGAUGAAGGUGCCGUAACAGGUACUGGAGGUCCGAACCCACUAAUGUUGAAAAAUUAGGGGAUGAGCUGUGGAUAGGGGUGAAAGGCUAAACAAAUCCGGAAAUAGCUGGUUCUCCCCGAAAACUAUUUAGGUAGUGCGUCUUAUAUCACUGACGGGGGUAAAGCACUGUUAUGGCUAGGGGGUCAUCGCGACUUACCAAACCAUGGCAAACUCUGAAUACCGUCAAGUGCGAGUAAGGCAGACAGACAGUGGGUGCUAACGUCCAUUGUCAAGAGGGAAACAACCCAGACCGCCAGCUAAGGUCCCCAAGACAUGGUUAAGUGGGAAACGAAGUGGGAAGGCAUAGACAGCUAGGAGGUUGGCUUAGAAGCAGCCAUCCUUUAAAGAAAGCGUAAUAGCUCACUAGUCGAGUCGUCCUGCGCGGAAGAUGUAACGGGGCUCAAACUGUGCACCGAAGCUGCGGAUAUCGAAAGAUAUGGUAGGGGAGCGUUCUGUAGGUCUGUGAAGGUGUCUUGUAAAGGAUGCUGGAGAUAUCAGAAGUGCGAAUGCUGACAUGAGUAGCGAUAAAGGGAGUGAAAAGCUCCCUCGCCGAAAGCCCAAGGUUUCCUACGCAACGUUCAUCGGCGUAGGGUGAGUCGGCCCCUAAGGCGAGGCAGAAAUGCGUAGUCGAUGGGAAACAGGUCAAUAUUCCUGUACCGAUUCUGGAUGCGAUGUGGGGACGGAGAAGGUUAGGUCAGCCACCUGUUGGAAUAGGUGGUUCAAGCGUGUAGGCGUGCCCCUUAGGCAAAUCCGGGGGGCUUAGCUGAGGCGUGAUAACGAGGUGCUACGGCACUGAAGUGAUUGAUACCAAGCUUCCAGGAAAAGCCACUAAGCUUCAGUCUAGAAUUGACCGUACCGCAAACCGACACAGGUGGGCAGGAUGAAAAUUCUAAGGCGCUUGAGAGAACUCAGGAGAAGGAACUCGGCAAAUUAACACCGUAACUUCGGGAGAAGGUGUGCCUCGGGAAGUGUAAGGGUUUACCCCUGAAGCAUCUCGGGGUCGCAGUGAAAUGGCCCAAGCGACUGUUUACUAAAAACACAGGACUCUGCAAAGUCGUAAAACGACGUAUAGGGUCUGACGCCUGCCCGGUGCUGGAAGGUUAAGGGGAGAGGUUAGCCGCAAGGCAAAGCUUCGAACCGAAGCCCCAGUAAACGGCGGCCGUAACUAUAACGGUCCUAAGGUAGCGAAAUUCCUUGUCGGGUAAGUUCCGACCUGCACGAAUGGCGUAACG
rnacentral:rRNA from 1 species